UACGUAGGGGCCAAGCGUUUGUCCGGAUUUAUUGGGCGUAAAGAGCUCGUAGGCGGUUGGGUAAGUCGGGUGUGAAACUCCAGGCUCAACUUGGAGACGCCACCCGAUACUGCUCUGACUUGAGUUCGGUAGGGGAGUGGGGAAUUCCUGGUGUAGCGGUGAAAUGCGCAGAUAUCAGGAGGAACACCGGUGGCGAAGGCGCCACUCUGGGCCGAAACUGACGCUGAGGAGCGAAAGCGUGGGUAGCAAACAGG
rnacentral:rRNA from 1 species